rnacentral:rRNA from 1 species
AGAGUUUGAUCCUGGCUCAGGACGAACGCUGGCGGCGUGCCUAAUACAUGCAAGUCGAGCGGACAGAUGGGAGCUUGCUCCCUGAAGUCAGCGGCGGACGGGUGAGUAACACGUGGGCAACCUGCCUGUAAGACUGGGAUAACUCCGGGAAACCGGGGCUAAUACCGGAUAACUCUUUCCCUCACAUGAGGGAAAGCUGAAAGAUGGUUUCGGCUAUCACUUACAGAUGGGCCCGCGGCGCAUUAGCUAGUUGGUGAGGUAACGGCUCACCAAGGCGACGAUGCGUAGCCGACCUGAGAGGGUGAUCGGCCACACUGGGACUGAGACACGGCCCAGACUCCUACGGGAGGCAGCAGUAGGGAAUCUUCCGCAAUGGACGAAAGUCUGACGGAGCAACGCCGCGUGAGUGAUGAAGGUUUUCGGAUCGUAAAACUCUGUUGUCAGGGAAGAACAAGUACCGGAGUAACUGCCGGUACC